CUGCAUGGUUGUUCGUCAGCUCGUGCCGUGAGGUGUCGGCUUAAGUGCCAUAACGAGCGCAACCUCAUCAUAGUUACCAUCAGGUAAGGCUGGGGACGUCUAAUGAGACUGCCAUCGUAAGAUGUGAGGAAGGUGGGGAUGACGUCAAAUCAGCACGGCCCUUACGUCCGGGGCGACACACGUGUUACAAUGGGUGGUACAAAGGGCAGCUACCUGGCGACAGGAUGCUAAUCUCGAAAACCGCUCUCAGUUCGGAUCGGAGUCUGCAACUCGACUCCGUGAAGCUGGAUUCGCUAGUAAUCGCGCAUCAGCCACGGCGCGGUGAAUACGUUCCCGGGCCUU
rnacentral:rRNA from 1 species